AUCCCAGCCCAGCUAGUUCUGCCCAUGCAGCAGAGCUCCACAAAAGUGCGGGAAUGUCUGACAGGGAAGAAUCAGAGAAACCUUCACCAGCAGCCCGACAUUCACCUGGACGGACAGUGCACUUUUCUUACGUCUGGGCAGGGAAGGCAGGGCGCACCAUCUACCGCAGGCUAGGAUGAUCACCAACCGCCCCACCGCACCCUGCGCCAGCCCUACGGCGCCCGCGGGCUGCAAGUAGCGGCGACCCAGGAGCAUGCGCGCUGCCGCCCCUGGCCUGCCAGGACCCAGAGGGAGCGGAGCACGCGCCUUUGGGAAUCUUCGGUGCGCCAAGUCUGUUCGCCGCCGGGGUCUAUCACCCCCGCCCCUCGCCUCUGCCCGUGAGCGUGUGAGUUGUAGCGUACCCUGGGGUCUGUUCUGGAGGAGGCCUGAGAGCGGGGUUGCCUGGGGCGUGGGUCUCUCAUCCCUCUCGUCCUGGUGAAGAAGAAGAGUAUACCCAGCGGGCUGGCUUGGCUUUUUCAGAGGAAACAGAGACUCUCAGACAUGAAUACUGUGACACUGACCACCAGGCCAACUUAACAUCAGCAGAUAUCCUGUCUCAGAUGAAGAGACAGUUAAUCAGAGACUUACUCCAACCCAGAAGUUUAUACCAAAAGACUUGAUUAGCGCAAUAAAAGCACUAAAUGAGGAGCUCGGAUUAAUUAUUGAUUUAACAUACACCACAAGAUAUUAUGAAGUUAAGGUAAAGUUGCAAAUGUAUAUUGUUAUCAUGGGUAGGUCUUAAAAUAGAAAGUUUGUUUUUUGUUUUGUUGUUAUUUUGUUUUUUUAAGACAGAGUCCUGCUCUGUCACUCGGGUUGGAGUGCAGUGGCGUGAUCUCGGCCCACUGCAACCUCCGCCUCCUGGGUUCAAGUGAUUCUCCUGCCUCAGCCUUCUGAGUAGCUGGGAUUACAGGCGCCCGCCACCACGCCUGGCUAAUUUUUGUAUUUUUAGUAGAGGUGGGGUUUCGCCAUGUUGGCCAGGCUAGUCUCAAACUCCUGACCUCAGAUGAUCUGCCCACCUCGGCGUCCCAAAGUGCUAGGAUUACAGGCGUGAGGCACCACAUCUGGCAAGAAUUUUUUUUUUAAUACUGCACUUGGAAAGUGAAUUAAGAUAUUCUCUUGGUUAUUUUAAUAUUAAUUUCAGAAUUGCCCAUGAAUAAUCUCUUAGCAAUGUUUUUAGUCCUUCAUAUACUCAUACAAUAUUCUUUUUCUAAAAACCAUUGGUUGUGCAAAGAGGAAAAAAAACACUGAACUUAUCCUUUUAAAAAAGCAAAAUAACUAGAAGGAAAUAUAGUUGCAAAUAGGAAAAGUGAAAAAGGGACAGAGAAACAAAAGGAGGGAAAGACAGCAAUAUGAUGAAAACGGAAGAAAUAAAAACGUAAGUGAGAUGGGUAUUACAACAGUAAUUUUUGAACUUUAACAGAGAAAUCUUUCAAUUAAAUCUUGCUCCGAAGCCCGUUAUAUAAAGCAGAUAUGGUAAGUGGGGAGUUGGGUUGGUUGAAGCAGGGGAUUGAGGAUCCAGACUUAGUCCACUUGACAUGAUAAUUAUUCUCCUUCCUUCACUUUCCACCCACAGACUAAGGGGCAGAAGGACACUUCGAAGAGCAGAAUUUUAAAACCCUGCUCUAGAGGAAAAUAAUUUUUAGACCUUAUGAGAAAACUAAAAAUUGCAGUGACAAGAUAUGAAAGCAUCUGUCUUAGCAGUUCACAUGAAAAAGUGGAAUUUUACUAGAUGCAGUAUGAUGCCAGUGAUUAAAAAGCUAAUGCACUUUUAAAGUCUGAUAUUUUAAAGUUCCAGAUUUAAGUCAAAGGAAAUAGUAGUUUUACUAUGCAUGUGGAUGGUUCUACCAUUUUUCAAGUGUUGAGUUCAAUGGUAAUACUAAAUUUUCUUUCUUUUUUUUUUUUUUGAGAUGGAGUCUCGCACUGUCGCCCCAGUUGGAGUGUAAUGGUGCGAUCUCGGCUCACUGCAAGCUCCGCCUCCCGGGUUCAUGCCAUUCUCCUGCCUCAGCCUCCUGAGUAGCUGGAACUACAGGUGCCCGCCACCACGCCCGGCUAAUUUUUUGUAUGUAUUUUUAGUAGAGACAAGGUUUCACUGUGUUAGCCAGGAUGGUCUCGAUCUUCUGACCUCGUUAUCCGCCCGCCUCAGCCUCCCAAAGUGCUGAGAUUGCAGGCGUGAGCCACCGCACCCGGCCUAUAAUACUACAUUUUAAAUCACUAAAAAUUCAAGAUGGAUAAUGACUGAGUCUCAUGUCUCCUAUAAUAUAGUAGUAAGACAGUUAAAUUCUUUCAAGACUUCAGUUUUUGACCUCCACAAAGACAGCAAUUAGAAAUUGAUUUUCUGAGGUCCCCUUUGGCUCCAAAAUGCAAUGAUUAAAGUUUUCAUUGACCCUGCUUACUGCCUUUAUAGAAAUAAUUCCCAAUAUGUGGAAAGGGAAUGCAGAGAAUCUUAAAUGGGACAUAAUCACUACAGUUGUUUGUAUUUGGAGUAUAUAGAAUUAGAGCCAAUGACAACAAGGUGGAUUUUUUUUUUAUUGUUUAGUUUAAUACUUUUACAACCUUAAUUUUAAGGGAUAAGAGACCAUUUUCAGCUUAGGUGUUGAUAGUGCUAGAGUUUCAAAGUGUGGAAUAUGUGAUAAAGGAUUUUUAUGUAAAAUUAGACAUAGUAUUAAAACCAGAGCUAGACAGUAAAGAAAGCAGUAAAAAAUAGAUUUUACUCAGGAACUAUUGGAAUAAAGUAAGGGACUUGAGUAUAGAACUGUGCUCAGUUCUGAAAAGAAGAAGAAUAAGGGGGGAUUCAUACCAAGGAACAGAGUGGGGUCGGUGGAUGGAAAAUUCCUAGGAGGAAACAUCAAGGUAAGAGGUAAUUCUGGUUAAACAGACCUAACAGGAUUCUUGCUGAAGGCAGGCCAGGAUGAUCAGACAACACCUCGGGGGCAAUGGAGGAUGAGGAAUUUGAUCAGAUAUUGAAGGAGGUCAGAUAUGAGGAUGGGAUUCUUACAAAACUGACUUAACAGGAUUCUUGCUCUUGAGGACAAGGCCCAAGUACCGGGCCUAGUAGAGAAUGGGCUCAAAGGAACCUGACUAAAUUUUGCUUAAGGAGAGUCUUUGUCAGUAGUCAUCAUACUUAAAUUGUUUAUUUUUGCCAAGUACCUCUUACCAAAGCUUUAUAAGCAUUUAAUUGUGCUUCUCAUUAUGAGAACAGAUAAAAGAAAAGGCUAUUAAAAGAAAAGGAAUUGUUAUUAGCCAAUUCAUAAAGUAGGAGAGAGUUGUUAGACCCAAGAUUUCAGAGUAAGAAAAAAAAAAUGACGCCACUGGGACUUCUGCUUUCAGAUAAGAGGAAGUAACAGGGACCAGAUUAACCCUCCCACCUGAAACAACAAAAAAAAAAGUGAAGAAAAUAUAUGAAACAACAAUUUCCAAGAAGUUGGAUAUCAGGCAAUGAAGGACAGUGAUCUCUGAGAAAUGUUCCAGCUUGCUGCCUUGAGAGAGUUUCCAGGUCAUGGUGCAGAAAGUGGGAAUCAUGAUGGAGCAAGUCACUGCCAAGUUAAGGGGACAGAACUGAGACGCCUGGGAAACCAAGGCAGCUAGCACUGGACAAGAGAGUACUGCCCAGGGAGAGUAUUCUAGGGUACUCUUUACCAACCCUCAGAUACUUUCCUGGAAUGCAGAAGGUUUCCCUGCAUUUCAGGAAAGUACCUGAGGCUGGAGAAAGAGCUACUCUAGAAGAUUAGAAGGAACAGUACUUGGAGCUCACUUAGGGCUGGCAAUAGGGACUUUUCCCACCAGCCAUUAUGAGGUUAUGGAAAACCUCAUAAUUCACAGGAUACUGGGUAGCAUUCAGAAGAGCCUUGUCUCAAUAGUGGGAAAUAAUGAGCCCUAGACUAAACACUACUCUGAUCUAUGGAAAACCUCAUAAUAGUAAGGAAUAAUGAGCUCUAGACUAAACACUACUCUGAUCUAUGGAAAACCUCAUAAUUCACAGGAUGCUGGGUAGAGUUCAGAAGGGCCUUGUCUCAAUAGUGGGGAAUGAACUCUAGACUAAACACUACUCUGAUCUUACCUAAUAAGUCUUAACAGCGAGACCUGAAAGGAUCAAACUGUUUCCAAGUAACUGCUUCCUGAAACAAAGCUUAAGAGUAUUUGUAGGAAUCCAAAAAAGAUACAGUCCUAUGAGUUUGGGUUACUUUUCUCCUUCUAAUUUUUCUGUUUCUGUUCUGAAAAUGUGGGAGGUUGCAUGGGAUAAUGAAAAAAGUAUUAGAUUAGAAAUCAGGAGAGCUGAGUUUUUGUCUAGUUCUGCUACCGACUUACCAUGUGACCAUGGUCAAGGUUUUCUUUUUUCUUGUCACAAGUGACCCCAGUACAUGGAGGGAUUUGGAUCAAACAAAUUCUGAAAAAUUCUUAAACUCUAAAAUGAAAUUGUCUUCAGGCCUUCUAUAUUUGCUCAAAAGAAUCAGGAACACUAAAAUGCAGAAAAGAUUACUUGAUUCUACUUAGUUUUACUAAUUGUUUUAUCAAGCAUAAGGGAUUCUAAUUUGUUACAAAAAUUUAAAUCAUUUAAAAUCAAUUUGUGAAUUUCUCUUAAAGUUAGUCAUUUACUGGAUAAACCAAAUUAUAUAUGAUGUUUAUUCAUUUUAAUAUUUUUUAUUUCAAUAGUUUUUGGGGAACAGGUGAUGUUUGCUUACGUGCAGAAGUUCUUUAGUGGUGAUUUCUGAGAUAUUGGUGCACCCAUCACCCAAGCAGUGUACACUGUACCCAAUGUAUACUCUUUUAUCCCUCAUCCCCUCUCCCAGCCUUUCCCCCAAGUCCCCAAAGUUCAUUGUAUCAUUCUUAUGCCUUUGUGUCCUCAUAGCUUAGCUCCCACUUAUGAGUGAGAACAUACGAUAUUUGGUUUUCCAUUCCUGAGUUACUUCACUUAGAAUAAUGGUCUCCAGUUCCAUCCAGGUUGCUACAAAUGCCAUUAUUUCAUUCCUUGUUGUGGCUGAGUGGUAUUCCCUCGUGGGUGUGUGUGUGUGUGUGUGUUUGUGUGUGUGUGUAUACACACCACAUUUUCUUUAUCCACUCGUUGAUUGAUGGGCAUUUGUACUGGUUCCAUAUUUUUGCAGAUUUUGCAAUUGUGAAUUGUGCUGCUGUAAACAAGUGUGUGUAAGUAUCUUUUUUGUAUAAUGACUUCUUUUCCUCUGGGUAGAUACCCAGUAGUGGGAUUGCUGGAUCAAAUGUAGUUCUACUUUUAGUUCUUUAAGGAAUCUCCACACUGUUUUUCAUAGUGGUUGUACUAAUUUACAUUCCCACCAGCAGUGUAAAAGUGUUCCCUUUUCACCACAUCCACACCAACAUCUAUUUAUUUUUAUUUUUUUGAUUAUGGCUAUUCUUGCAGGAGUAAGGUAGUAUUGCAUUGUGGUUUUGAUUUGCAUUUCCCUGAUAAUCAGUGAUGUUGAGCAUUUUUUCAUAUGUUCGUUGGCCAUUUGUAUAUCUUAUUUUGAGAAUUGUCUAUUCAUGUCCUUAGCCCACUUUUUGAUGGGACUGUUUGUUUUUUUCUUGCUAAUUUGUUUGAGUUCCUGUAGAUUCUGGAUAUUAGUCCUUCAUUGGAUGCAUAGAUUGCAAAGAUUUUCUCCCACUCUGUGGGUUGUCUGUUUACUCUGCUGAUUACUAUUAUUAUUAUUAUUAUUAUUAUUAUCUUGCUGUGCAGAAGCUUUUUAGCUUAAUUAAGUCCCAUCUAUUUAUCUUUGUUACAUUUGCUUUUGGGUUCUUGGUUAUGAAGUCUUCGCCUAAGCCGAUGUCUAAAAGGGUUUUUCCAAUGUUAUCUUCUAGAAUUUUUAUGGUUUUAGGUCUUAGAUUUAAGUCUUUUAUCCAUCUUGAAUUGAUUUUUGUAUAAGGUAAGAGAUGAGGAUCCAGUUUCAUUCUUCUACAUGUGGCUUGCCAAUUAUCCCAGCACAAUUUGUUGAAUAGGGUAUCCUUUCCCCACUUUAUGUUUUUGUUUGCUUUGUUGAAGAUCAGUUGGCUGUAAGUGUUUGACUUUAUUUCUGGGUUCUCUCUUCUAUUCCAUUGGUCUAUGUGCCUCUUUUUAUACCAGUGCCAUGCUGUUUUGGUUAUUAUGGCCUUAUAGUAUGAAGUCGGGUAAUGUGAUAUCUCCAGAUUUGUUCUUUUUGCUUAGUCUUGCUUUGACUAUGUGGGCUCUUUUUUGGUUCCAUAUGCAUCUUAGGAUUGUUUUUUCUAGUUCUGUGAAGAAUGACAGUGGUAUUUUGAUGGGAAUGCAUUGAAUUUACAGAUUGCUUUUGGCGGUAUGGUCAUUUUCACAAUAUUGAAUCUACCCAUCCAUGUACAUGGGAUGUGUUUCCAUUUGUUUGUUGGUUAGGUAUUUAACAUACCAUAUAAUUCACCCACUUCAAGCAUACAAUUUAAUGAUUUUUAUUAAAUUUACCUAUUUAUGCAUCUAUUACUGUACAUCAGUUUUAAAACACUUCUAUCUCCCUAAUAAGAACCUUCAUGUUCAUGAAUUGUUCAUUCCUAUUCCCCCACCCCAGGCAACAAUUAAUGUAGUUUCUGUCUCUAGAGAUUUGUCUCAUGUGGACAUUUCAUAUAAAUGGAAUCAUACAAUAUUGGUCUCUUGUGUUUGGCUUCUUUCGUUUAGCAUAAUGUUUUUGAGGUUUGUCCAUGAUAUACAGCAUAUAUCAGUAGUUCAUUUGUGUUUUUGCUGAAUAAUAGUACAUUAUAUGGAUAUACCACAUUUUGUCUACCUAUUCAUCAGUAGGUGGUGUGAAAGGAAAAUUAAUCUUGGGGCCCCAAAAUCACUAAGCUAAAGGGAAAAGUCAGGCCUGGACUGCUUAGGGCAAACCGGCCUCCCAUUGUAUUCAAAGUCACCCCUCUACUCACUGAGAUAAAUGCAUAUCUGAUUGCUUCCUUUGGAGAGGCUAAUCAGAAACUCAAAAGAAUGCAGCCAUUUGUCUCUUAUCUACUUAUGACCUGGAAGCCCCCUCCCAGCUUUGAGUUGUCCCACCUUUCCAGACAAAACCAGUGUUCAUCUUAUAUAUUUGAUUUAUGUCUCAUGUCUCCCUAAAAUGUAUAAAACCAAACUGUGCUCUAUCUUGGCCACAUGUCAUCAGGACCUCCUGAGGCUGUCUCACAGGCACAUGUCCUCAACUUUGGCAAAAUAAACUUUCUAAAUUAACUGAGACCUAUCUCAGAUAUUCAGGGUUCACAGUGGACAUUUCAGUUGUUUCCCAUUUUUGGCUACUGUUAAUAAGGUUGCUAAGAACAUUCAUAUGGAGGUCUUUGUAUGGAUAUAUGUUUUCAUUUCUCAUGGAUUGAUAUCUAGGAGUGAAAUUUCUGGGUCAUAUGGUAAAUUUAUAUUUAACUUUUAAACAAAUUGCCCAACUAUUUAAGGUGAGUUUAGCCUUGCCAAUAUUUGUUAUUGUCUAUCAUUUUUAUUUAUUAUUUUAGUGGGUUUGAAAGGGUAUGUCAUUGUGCUUUUAAUUUGCAUUUCCCUAUUUAUAAUUUGCAUUUUGUAUUCCUGAGUGGCUUUCUGCCAUUAUCCCAUUUAGAUUCAUUCUUUACAAUAAAGCUUAAGAUUAUUGGCAAUAGAAUUUAAUUAUCACUAUAAGAAUAGAUCACUACCCCAUUUCCCUUUUUAUUAGUCUUUGCCUUAUUCUUAGAAAAAUUUUCCUUUUUUUUUUAAAGAAAAAAAUCUUUCAUUUCUACAGAAUGUGAUUCCUUUUUAGCUCUAGGAUCUCACUGUCCCUAUCACUUUCCUCUCUGGCAUCUUAAAUCUCCCUUGCCGCUUUCCUCUUACUUUCAAAUAUACCUAGAAGUAUUCUGUUGGUUUCUAUUCUCUUGUAUGAACUACUAUUCCACUUUCUUGUUGUGCCUAUUGUCAAACAUUUGAAAACACCUUGGCUGUGAUCACCACCUCCAUUUCUUUACUGUCCCAUUCUCUUCUUAAAUGUGUGGUUUGUUUUCACCACUUAAUGAAAUUGCCUUCUCAGAAAUCACCAACAAUCUAGCCAAAUCCUGCAGCCUUUUCUUUGCAGCAUCUGGCAUCUACACAUACAGAUUGAGAAUGCCAAAUCCAAAUAUCUGAAAAUUGAAAUGCUCCGAAAUAUGGAACUUUUUGAGCACCAAACUGACACUCAAAGGAAAUGAUCAUUAGAGCAUUUCAGAUUUCAGAUUUUGGGAUUAUGGAUGCUCAACUGGCAUAGUGCAAAUAUGCCAAAAUCCACAAAAAUCUGAAAUCUGAAACACUUCUGGGCAUUAUGGAUGAGGGAUCCUCAACCUGUACUUAUAUUUUUUUAUUUUGAACACAGUAAUUAUCCAGGUUUGCCUCUUUUCUGAUAGCUCUCAAUCACUUUGGUUGUCUCCUAUUCUUCUCACUGUAGAGGUUUUAUAAAACUCUUUCUUUGGCUUUGCUUUUAUUCCCAUUCUCUUGUCACUUUGGCUGUCAUGUCUGCCAGAUGACCCCUAAAUGUUUCGCAUACCUCAGUUAUGUACAAAAUCCCCACUUCUCUAAGGAACACUUUCUUUUCAAAUCACAGGUCUUUGGGAUAGUUUAUAUAGCUCAUAAAAAGAAUGAAUGUUUUAUGUAUAUUUGUUUCUUUGACACCAUAUCUGUUUUGUUUGCAUUAUGAUCUUUCAGUGUUUCAUAAGCUAAAUAAAAUCAAACCAGAAACUGAAUUUUGCCUGAAAGCUAGGGAUUUCCUUCUCAGUAUUUAUUCAGGUAUUCUGGGAGGAAAAUUUAUUGGUUCCUAAUUUCUUAUAAGAGCUGCUUGAUAAAAUGUUCUCUCCUUAUAGUCUUCUUCCCUUUGCAACCUUUUACUUGUGCUUGUUUUUAGUCCCUACCUAAAGAAAUGUUCUUCCCAAUAGAUGACAUCUGAAAAUUAACAAUACCAGAAAAUUAACUCUGGGGAUCUUUUACUAGAAUUCAUAUAAGUCAUUUUCUGAGCUCAUGUCAACAUUAAUAUCCAUCUAAGGUUGUGAUUGCUAUUUAUAGAUACUAAUAUAUAAUUUUUCCCUGAGAAGAUUGCUUUUAUAACAUGCCUGGAUGUCAGUUUUCUACUUUAUGAAACUAAGCAACACUGGAACAAUUCAAAAAUCUUAGUGUCUUUUAGCCUAAACUCAGUGGCAUAUUCCUAAAGAAUACUUUCCAUUUAAUUUUAUCUUCUCUAAUGAAGAUAAUGGUAUUCAUGCAACAUCUUUUAUAUGCUGUAUGGUACUCAAGCAACAUCUUUUAUAUGCUGCUUAGCAACUCUGUUAAGCACCUCUAUGUGCCAGGCAUACAGCUCAACACUAGACCUACAGAGGUCAGAAGGAGCCCUUGCCUUCAAGGAGAUAGGUAAGUAAACCAGCAAAUAGACACUUUAUCCAUUCCACAAGUGUUUAUGGAAUACCUACUGUGUCCUGGCACUCUGCUUAGCUCUGAGGAUUCAGCAAUGAAUAAGACAGGUGUGAAAAUAAGUAAUUCAAAAUCUAAGCUGUUGGAACUCCAAACUAUUUUGAUCCUUAAAGAAAUGUGAUUAUGGGGCCUGAGUCACGUUACAAGCAGCUGUAACCUGGGAAGCUGUAAUCUUUGUUUCUAUGAUUAUAGAUUAACCUUCCUCCUUGCUUACAUUGUUGUACAAAAUGUUACAAAUGACUAAAGGGCUCCAGGAAAGACCCCUUCCCUGUUACUGUUGAUUUUUAUUAUAGAUUAACUUCCCUUUUAGUUUCUCACCCAAAGGUUUCAUGGCUAUCACACCGUGUUAAGAUGGAGUGUUAAAUACCUCUUUUAAAUCAGAAAGGAAAUGAAAACCAACUGUAAAGAAAACAAGCCAUACAGAAAAGAAACUCAUAAACUAGCGUUCUAGAAAAUGUUAUAAACCUACUAAACUUCUUUGUUUUCUGCCUAUAUAUGCAAUAAUUUAACUUUGAACUUUGGAACACUGACUCUAUUUCUCUGGAGUCUGUGUCUCCCAAAUGGCUAUUCCCAGCUUUUUACUUGAAUAAUCUCGACUGGAUUUUGAUCCUUUUGAUUAUUUCAGGUUAACCCAGACCAGGCCAUGAAGAUUGUAAAUCUGUGUGGGCUUGCAAGGCCUUAUAUGAUGGGAUUUUGCACUUGCUGUUUCCUCUGCCUAGAAUGCUUUAUCUUUGCAUGGCUCGGUUCAAAUGUCACCUUCUCAGAGGGCCAGCCUUCCAUGACUGUCUUAUUUAGUGCUGUUCCUCUCUUCUAGUCACUGUUGAUUGUAUGAUCUUGAUUUCCUUCAAAGCACUUAUUACUAUCAGAGAUGAUGUGUGUACUUGCUUUUGGUCUGUCCCUCUUGAGGACAGGGACUUUGAUUGAUUUGGUAUCUCUAAGUGUUUAAACGGUAUCUGGAAUAUUUUGGGCACCUAAAACACAUUUGAUGAUGGGAUGAAACAACGAAUGUGUGGAUGGUGCUGGAGAAAGGCAUUCAACAAAUAAGGCAAUUUCAGAUAGUGAAAGUAUGGGUACUCAGAGAAGGUUAAUGGAGAAGUGGAGUCAGUAUUCUGAUGUCUGAGCAGAAAUGUAAAGGAAGAGUUGGCUAGGCAAAGAAAACAAUGUAAGCUGGAUCACAGAGGUGUGAAAGCAUGGCGCAUGGGGGAUUCACAAGUAGUGAGAAUGCCUAGAUUAUAGGUUCACCUAGGGGCAGAUAGCAAGGGUGAGAGCUCCAAGGAGCUGACUUGUCUUACGAAGAUUUGAAUUGCAACCUAAAGGCAAAAUGUAGUCACAGAGGCAUUUUAUGUAGAAGUCACAUAAUAAGUUAUGUAUCUUAGAUCAUUCUGGCACCAGAGAGUAAGAUAGAUUCGAAUAGAUAGGUUACAUGUAGGAAAAAAGGUAUUUUCCCUGCUCUCACACAGCUACUCAACACUUCUGACUCCAGAUGUGUGGGGAUUUUCCCACAAACAUCAAGCAGUUCUGCUAUGUACACCAUCUGGGUGUCCGCUAAUUCAAUUCUGUUGACACUAUCUACCUGGAGAUAGCAUCAGAUCCCAUAGGUUGAGGACUUAGUCUUACAAAACUGUCCCCCACUUCAGAUGCCAAUCACAAGCCCCAGGUUGCAGUCUGUACUUCUGACAACUAUAAAUCAGAGUUCCCACAACCCCUCCUAAAUCAUUCUAUUAAUUUCCUAGAGUGACUCACAGUAUGCGGGGAAACACUUAUGUUUACCCAUUCAUUAAAAAGGACAUUGCAAAGGAUACAGAGGAACAACCAGACAAGAGAUGCACAGGGCAAAGUACGCGGGAAGGGGAGCCAGGCUUCCAUGCCCUUUCCAGGCAAGCCACCUUCUAGGAACCUCCGCAUGUUCAGCUAUCCAGAAGUUGUCCAAACCCAAGCCUUUUGUAUUUUUAUGGAAGCUUCGUUAGGUAGGAUGAUGGAUUAAAUUACUGGCCAUUGGCAAGGAGAUUAACCUACAGCCUUUCUCCCCUCCCCAAAGGUUGGGGGAUAGAGCUGAAAGUCCCAACACUUUAAUCCUGCCUUGGUUUUUCUGAGGACCAGUCCCCGUGCUGAGGCUAUCAGGGGCCCCAAUCACCAGUCAUCUCAGUAGUAUACAAAAGGCACUCUUACCACUCUGGAGAUUCCAAGGGUUUUGGGAGUUGUAUGUCAGGAAAUGGACUAUGACCAAAUAUAUGUUUCACAGUAUCGAAGAAUGGAAGUAGGUUGGGGGCACAGAGAUUAGUGUGGGAACAAUUACAGAAAUUAAAGGAAAAAUUAAUUAGGGGCCUAAUCUAAGGCAGUGGCAGAAGAGAUGGUGAGGAAAACAGUUGAAGAUUUUUAAAGAGAGACUUAUUAAAAUAAUGGCAAAGAGAUGUAGGUGAGUGAGUUGGGGGGAAGAAUGGGUUGAUUCCCAGGUUUCUCACUUGGUACCAAUCACCCAGGUUGAUGCAUUAAGUAGAGAAGAGAUAAUUAGCUUCACCAGCUCUCAAAGUCAUUGAACUGCUGGGGCACAGGUGCCUGCAGUUGUGUACGUAGUCCUUUGGCUAAAAUCUGAAGGAUAACCCUCGUAAUGCUUUAAUGAAACACAGCUUUGCUCAUCUUGGCAACCUGUGCUGACUGCUGUCUAUAAAACUUCUAGCUGUACCAGUUUGGGUGUAAGGAUAUGGUGUUUGUCUUCUAAGAAAUCUUAGCUACUGGCCAGGCACAGUAGCUCACACCUGUGAUCCCAGCACUUUGGCUGAGCCAGGAGGAUCACUUGAGCCCAGGAGUUCAAGACCAGCUUGGGCAACAUAGGAAGAUCCCACCUCUACAAAAAAUAAAAAUUUAGCUGGGUGUGGUAGUGUGUACCUUGGUCCAAGCUACUUGGGAGGUUGAGGCAGGAGGAUCACUUGAGCCUGGGAGGUUGAGUGUGCAGUGAGCCAUGGUGGUGCCACUGUACUCCAGCCUGGGUGACAGAGUGAGACUCUGUCUCUCAAAAAAAGAAAAAGUCCUGGGUACCUAUUAGAGAACAAAGUUAUUCCCUCAACAGGCAAUUCAGAUGCUUAUUUUCUUUUGUUCCUAGAAUAGAGUUUUGAACUUAAUUAUACAUUAGAAUUUAUUAUGACAUUUUUUUAACCUGAUGUCUGGUCCCAUCCAAGAGCAAUUACAUCAAAAUUAAAAAGUGAUCAUUUCAUGUACCCAUGUCUGAGAACCUUCUAGAUUCACUGCCCUCAUGAAUCAGAGUUCUAUUUUACAUCCCUACUUUUUGGGUUGAUACUUGGACCAGAGAGGAAAUUGGAAAUUUGAGUUUGUGAUCAGUGCCAAUGGGUUGAUUUUCCAUUGCUGCUAUUACAAAUUAUCGCAAAUUUAGUGGCUUAAAAAACCUUACAGUUCCGUAGGUUAGAAGUCCAACGAGGGUCUCAGUGGGCUAAAAUCAGGUGUCACCAGGCCUGCAUUCUUUCCUGGAGGCCCUACAGGGGAUUUGUUUCCUUGCCUUUUGCAGCUUCUAGAUGCCACCCACACUUCAUGGAUAUUGGCCCCCUUCCUUCAUCUUCAAAGUCAACAACUUUGCAUCUCUGUGUAACUUUCACCCAUAGUCACAUCUCCACAGCCAGAAAGGUUCUCCAGUUUUAAGAGCCUAUGUAAUUAGAUUGUAAAUAUGGACCAGCUUUGACUAGCCAUUUUAGGUCAAAUACUACUUCGGUUCUUCAUAAAUAUUUGUUGGACUGAAUUGAAAAUAUGAGGUUUAAGCGUUUGUCUAGUUUAAAAGGAUGACACUGGUCUUGGGGACCCACAAAUGACUACUUUUGUUGUUUUCCCACUGUCUAGCUUUAAGUGAUCUGUCUUUUCUGGGAG
rnacentral:lncRNA from 1 species